AAGUCGUAACAAGGUUUCCGUAGGUGAACCUGCGGAAGGAUCAUUAUCGUAAACGAGGGAGGCUACGUGCCCCGCUCCUUACCUUGCCUACUGCACUAUCUGUUGCUUCCUGGCGGCGGACUGCCUGCCGCCAGGGACAUUUUAAAGCCCUUGUAUCAGCAUUGAAACUCUGAAGCAAACCGAAUCGUACAACUUUCAACAAUGGAUCUCUUGGUUCUG
rnacentral:misc_RNA from 1 species